rnacentral:rRNA from 1 species
UGGGGAAUUUUGGACAAUGGGGGCAACCCUGAUCCAGCAAUGCCGCGUGAGUGAAGAAGGCCUUCGGGUUGUAAAGCUCUUUUGUCCGGGAAGAAACGGUGUUCUCUAAUAUAGGAUGCUACUGACGGUACCGGAAGAAUAAGCACCGGCUAACUACGUGCCAGCAGCCGCGGUAAUACGUAGGGUGCAAGCGUUAAUCGGAAUUACUGGGCGUAAAGCGUGCGCAGGCGGUUUGAUAAGUCAGAUGUGAAAUCCCCGGGCUCAACCUGGGAAUGGCAUUUGAGACUGUCAGGCUAGAGUGUGUCAGAGGGGGGUAGAAUUCCACGUGUAGCAGUGAAAUGCGUAGAGAUGUGGAGGAAUACCGAUGGCGAAGGCAGCCCCCUGGGAUAACACUGACGCUCAUGCACGAAAGCGUGGGGAGCAAACAGGAUUAGAUACCCUGGUAGUCCACGCCCUAAACGAUGUCAACUAGUUGUCGGGACUUAAUUGUCUUGGUAACGCAGCUAACGCGUGAAGUUGACCGCCUGGGGAGUACGGUCGCAAGAUUAA